GGGCUCAUAGUCUAAAGGAUAAAGACACCAACCUUCUAAGUUGAGAAUGAGGGUUCGAGUCCUUCUGAGCUCA
rnacentral:tRNA from 1 species